AACGUAGGGGGCGAGCGUUGCCCGGAUUCACUGGGCGUAAAGCGGGUGUAGGCGGUUUUUUAAGUCGGAUGUGAAAUCCUACGGCUCAACCGUGGAACUGCAUCCGAUACUGGGGAACUUGAGGACGGUAGAGGUCGGUGGAAUUCCAGGUGUACCGGUGAAAUGGGCAGAUAUCUGGAGGAACACCAGUGGCGAAAGCGGCCACCUGGACUGCACCUGACGCUGACACGCGAAAGCUAGGGGAGCGAACGGG
rnacentral:rRNA from 1 species